AGAAAAAAGUAAGUUUUAUGGUAUGCAUAUAAAUUAAUUAACCAAAUUAAAAUGAAAAGGAAAGAGUAUAAGUUUAAAAAGUUUUGGAAGUGUUGUCAAUAUUGGCAACUAACAUCUCAGCCUGUCCUUUUGAUUUGCAUUUUGGAUCCUGUUUCUAAGCUGUCAGUUUACGUUCUGGGUUCAGAUUCUGAAUUCCAAGUUCUGUGUUUAGAAUCUUGACUCCAAACGCAGAUUCCAAAUUCUGUAGUUGACGUCUCCCCACCGUUUGGUUGUCUGAGGCUAAUUCUGUAGCACAGAGCUCAACAAACCAUGACUCCUGGCGAAAUCAAGCCCCCCACUUGUCUCUAUGAAUCCCCAAGGAAGACCAGUUUUUUUAUAUUUUAGGUGGUUAAUCCACCAGUUUUGUUAAUAGAUGCCUCAGAGCCGGUCACUCUGGCUUGCGUUUCCAGCACUUGAUGUCCUCUUUCCACGCAUGCCUUCCAGUGAGGUUUCUUCUUUGGGACAGUUUCCCGGACUCCCAGAGUUGCAGAGGCUCCCCCAGGGGUGCGUGGACCCGCCUCUUCCCCGCCCCUCCCACGUUUGCAGUCACCGUGUGGACAGAGCAUCGCUGCGGCUUCCCACAUCCGUGCUUCCGUGUCAGCUUCCCCAAAGUUGGGGACUAUUUUAAAUCCCUUCCUGAGAUCAGUCGUCUGGCUCCCAAAGGCUGGCGUUCCGCGCCCUCCCUUCUCAGCCGCUCUAGCCACGCUGCCCUUCCAAGGCUUCUAGCGCUUGCUUCUUUCCAGCUCCUUUCACAUCGUGGUUUUCACCAAGUUUCUGGUUCGCUCUUGUGAUGUGCCGGCUGAAUUUAAUGACACGCAACCUUCAGUGUGGGUUAGAAAUUAUCCCAUGAGUCCAUUCUAGUUUACUUCAAGAAGUAGAAAAUGAACCGGUUGAAUCCAAUUAACAUUACCAAUGGUAAUCAAGUAAUAAAGCU